rnacentral:sRNA from 1 species
UAGAACUGGCUCUCCAACCCACAUGCCG